rnacentral:rRNA from 1 species
GGAGGCAGCAGUGGGGAAUAUUGCACAAUGGGGGAAACCCUGAUGCAGCCAUGCCGCGUGUGUGAAGAAGGCCUUCGGGUUGUAAAGCACUUUCAGCGAGGAGGAAAGGGUGUAAGUUAAUACCUUACAUCUGUGACGUUACUCGCAGAAGAAGCACCGGCUAACUCCGUGCCAGCAGCCGCGGUAAUACGGAGGGUGCGAGCGUUAAUCGGAAUUACUGGGCGUAAAGCGUGCGCAGGCGGUUUGUUAAGCGAGAUGUGAAAGCCCCGGGCUCAACCUGGGAACCGCAUUUCGAACUGGCAAACUAGAGUCUUGUAGAGGGGGGUAGAAUUCCAGGUGUAGCGGUGAAAUGCGUAGAGAUCUGGAGGAAUACCGGUGGCGAAGGCGGCCCCCUGGACAAAGACUGACGCUCAGGCACGAAAGCGUGGGGAGCAAACAGGAUUAGAUACCCUGGUAGUCCACGCCGUAAACGAUGUCUACUCGGAGUUUGGUGUCUUGAACACUGGGCUCUCAAGCUAACGCAUUAAGUAGACCGCCUGGGGAGUACGGCCGCAAGGUUAAAACUCAAAUGAAUUGACGGGGGCCCGCACAAGCGGUGGAGCAUGUGGUUUAAUUCGAUGCAACGCGAAGAACCUUACCUACUCUUGACAUCCACA